UUGCGAGCCGCGACAGACGGUGGAAGACAUUGUUUUAUCCAGACCGAGAAAGAAAACAGAGGAGAAAAAGAAGAAGAAAAAAACAGGGGAACCGAGUCGUCAAAAUGCCAGAGAAUCCUGUAACAAAAUCAAACAAACGAAGGCGAGAGGAGGACAGAGAAGGUUGAAGAUGAAAGAAAAUUGAAAGGGGGUGUGUGUUAAUUUAUACAAUGUGGUGGACUGAGACUGAGUAAAGAGCAAAACUUUAUGCAACCCCCCCCCCCCAACCCCCCCUUCCUUCCUAUCGUUCUCUCUCUCUUUCUUCCUACUCUGCCACAAGCCAUGGAAAGAGUAUAUUGUGAAAUUAGGAAAUUAAAAUAUACUUUUACUACACCAAAAAUAGCUUAAUAAUUAAACCUAACAUAAUUCUAUCACAAAAGGAAACAGAGAAUACUCAAAAUUUCUCUCUCCCUCUCUCUCUCUCUCUCUUUCUCACAUUCCCAAAUUUUCUUGAUUAACUCGAUGGGUGUGUAUGUAUAUUAUCACCUUUAAUUAUGUUAUAAACUAAUAUGGGUGUGUAUAUUUUCUCACAGAAAAAUAUGGGUUUGUAUAUUUUCUCUCAGAAAA
rnacentral:lncRNA from 1 species